CCGCAGCCCUGAGUCGCGGACUGGCUCACGAUGCGCUGCUGCGUUGUACGGCCCGGGAGAAACAAACUGGAUUUGAUUCCCAGCAACCACAAGAUGCCUCACAACCAUCAAUAACUCCAUUGUCAAGAAAUCUGACCUCCUCUUGGGACCUCUGCAAGCACCAGGCACAGUCUAUCCACGUACAUAUAAGCCUUUUAAAACAUUGAGGGAAGAGUACGGAAUUCUCAAGACACAUUUCACCCUCUGGAGUUCUCUCAUGAACAACUUACAUUAAGUGGUAUAUUUGUUAUGAUUGAUGGACUCGCAUUGAUACAUUGUUAACUAAAGUUCACAGUUGACAUUAGGGUUUUCUCUGUGCAUAUUCUAUGGUUGGUACCAAUGUGCACUCUUAUGUAGUCUCUGUUUGCAGCAUCACACAGAAAAUUCUCCACGCCUUAAAUAUGCCAUGCUUAGGCGAGAGAGAUGCUUCAGCAGUUAGGAGCCCUUGCUGCACAUGGGUUCUGGAAAUUAGAUCCCAGUACCCAAAUAACAACAUCCUUGAAAAUGCCUAACCCCAGCUCUGAGGGCAGUGGAGACAGGAGGAUUGCUGGGACUUGCAGGCCUCGGGCCUAGCUGAGAAAAAUGUGAGCCCCAGGUUUAAGAAGAGACAAUGCCUAGGUGGGUGGUGGAGGCUCAUGCCUUUAAUCUGCCUGCCUCUGCUUCCCUCCCAAGUACUGGGAUUAAAGACUUAUUUAGGGAGGGAGAUGACUCACACCUUUAACGCCUUCCCAGGGCAGUGUUUGUGGACAUGAAACCCACAGUCACUGAUGAAGUUUUCAGUGGUCCCCACCACCUGCUCUCCCACAAACAAGGAUGUUGCUGCCAGUAACUAUGCCCAUGCCUGUUGUACUGUAGGGAUGUGGUGUUAUCAUAGCCAAAGAUGCUGCUGCUGUCACGGCCACCUUCAAGGCCAAGCACAACAUCCAUUUUGUGGACUGGGGUUCCAUUGGUUUCAAGGCUGGUAUUAUCAUCCUUCCACCGUGGUACCUGGUGGAGGCUUGGCAGAGAACUGAGCACAACAGCACCACUGCUCUCCUAGACCACAAGUUUGACACUUUGACACGAUGUAUGCCAGCUGUGCCUUUUUGCAUUUGUAUAUGGAUGAAGACAUGGAGGAAGGAGGGUUUUCUGAGGCCCUCAAGAAGGGCUAUGAAGGGUGCUAAACGAGAUGAUGAGGGUGACAGCUAACCCACCUGCUGCAAUUUCCCUGUCUCAGAGCUGACUUUGAAUUGGUUGCUGUUCUGUUUUAUGGGACUGUCUGUUAUAAUCCUAAACUAUCAGUAAAGGUGACUUUCCAUUUUUAAUGGCAAAACAAA